CGCGCACACCACGAGUGUUGGGUGACCAUCAGGUGAUGGUCAGGCAGUUGUUAACUGUCUCGCUAAAGUAAUAAUUGGCCACAGCCAGUGCCAGAGAAAGUCAGUCUACUAAUACAUGUAGAUAGGAAACACCUGAAACUGAUCAGCAGCUUCCCAGUAAGAUCUCAGGAGUGGAGAGAAGGAACGCAAGAUCCCGGAAGUAUGCCAGUGUAUAAAACCCCAAGUCAAAAGAAUAAAGCCCAAAAAUAUUAGCAUAACAUUCAGGGGACUUCGUGAUCAAGAUCCACUUUAUCUCCCCUGUGUUAUCUCUGACUGCCACCCUGUGAAACCUUGAUUCAACUACACCAAACCACUGACAAUUCUUGAGAACAUGAAGUUAUUAAAAAGUAAAAUCUAUAUUUGGGGGCAAUAUAACUGUAGAAAAUCCAGAAAAAGUCAUUUGAAAAACAAAGUUAAUAAGCCUUUAGAGCAAUUGUUAAAAUGUUUGCAUCUAUUAAAAUGUGUGUAAAGAUACCAAAUUAUGUGAGACAUGCUUAUAAUGUUAGCUGAUAAAAACAG
rnacentral:lncRNA from 1 species